rnacentral:misc_RNA from 1 species
GCAAACUUGGUCAUUUAGAGGAAGUAAAAGUCGUAACAAGGUUUCCGUAGGUGAACCUGCGGAAGGAUCAUUAUCGAGUGUUAACCAACCCCUUAAAAAAGGGUGGUACCUCCCGUCCUUUGCAGGCCCCUUUUAUUGGGGGCUUUUUAAGACUUUCUGCUUCGGCGGGGUUUAUUUCCCGCCGGAACACCCUCAAAAAAAUCUUGAAUUAAAAAACCGUUCAGUCCGAGAAUUUUUUUAAAAAUUAAAAAAAACUUUCAACAACGGAUCUCUUGGUUCUGGCAUCGAUGAAGAACGCAGC